rnacentral:rRNA from 1 species
UAGUCCAGACCGUAAACGGUGGGCACUAGUUGUGGGAACCUUCCACGGUUUCUGCGACGCAGCUAACGCAUUAAGUGCCCCGCCUGGGGAGUACGAUCGCAAGAUUCAAACUCAAAGGAAUUGACGGGGCCCCGCACAAGCAGCGGAGCAUGCGGCUUAAUUCGACGCGACGCGAAGAACCUUACCAAGGCUUGACAUAUAGGGAAAAGUGGCAGAGAUGUCAUGUCCGCAAGGGCUCUAUACAGGUGGUGCAUGGUUGUCGUCAGCUCGUGUCGUGAGAUGUUGGGUUAAGUCCCGCAACGAGCGCAACCCUCGUUCUGUGUUGCCAGCAUUUAGUUGGGGACUCACAGGAGACUGCCGGGGUUAACUCGGAGGAAGGUGGGGAUGACGUCAAAUCAUCAUGCCCCUUAUGUCUUGGGCUGCACGCAUGCUACAAUGGCCGGUACAGAGGGCUGCAAUACCGUAAGGUGGAGCGAAUCCCAAAAAGCCGGUCUCAGUUCGGAUUGAGGUCUGCAACUCGACCUCAUGAAGUUGGAGUUGCUAGUAAUCGUAGAUCAGCAUCGCUACGGUGAAUACGUUCCCGGGGCUUGUACACACCGCCCGUCACGUCACGAAAGUCGGUAACACC